rnacentral:misc_RNA from 1 species
GAUGAAGAACGUAGCGAAAUGCGAUACGUAAUGUGAAUUGCAGAAUUCAGUGAAUCAUCGAGUCUUUGAACGCACAUUGCGCCCGCCAGCAUUCUGGCGGGCAUGCCUGUUCGAGCGUCAUUUCAACCCUCGACCUCCCUUUGGGGAAGUCGGCGUUGGGGACCGGCAGCACACCGCCGGCCCUGAAAUGGAGUGGCGGCCCGUCCGCGGCGACCUCUGCGUAGUAAUCCAACUCGCACCGGAACCCCGACGCGGCCACGCCGUAAAACACCCAACUUCUGAACGUUGACCUCGAAUCAGGUAGGACUACCCGCUGAACUUAAGCAUAUCAAUAAGCGGAGGA